rnacentral:rRNA from 1 species
AACGAACGCUGGCGGCAUGCCUAACACAUGCAAGUCGAACGAGACCUUCGGGUCUAGUGGCGCACGGGUGCGUAACGCGUGGGAAUCUGCCCCUUGGUUCGGAAUAACAGUUAGAAAUGACUGCUAAUACCGGAUGAUGACGAAAGUCCAAAGAUUUAUCGCCGAGGGAUGAGCCCGCGUAGGAUUAGCUAGUUGGUGAGGUAAAGGCUCACCAAGGCGACGAUCCUUAGCUGGUCUGAGAGGAUGAUCAGCCACACUGGGACUGAGACACGGCCCAGACUCCUACGGGAGGCAGCAGUGGGGAAUAUUGGACAAUGGGCGGAAAGACCUGAUCCAGACAAUGCGCGUGAGUGAUGAAGGCCUUAGGGUCGGUAAAAGACUC